rnacentral:rRNA from 1 species
AUUGAACGCUGGCGGCAGGCCUAACACAUGCAAGUCGAGCGGAUGAAGGGAGCUUGCUCCUGGAUUCAGCGGCGGACGGGUGAGUAAUGCCUAGGAAUCUGCCUGGUAGUGGGGGAUAACGUCCGGAAACGGGCGCUCAUACCGCAUACGUCCUGAGGGAGAAAGUGGGGGAUCUUCGGACCUCACGCUAUCAGAUGAGCCUAGGUCGGAUUAGCUAGUUGGUGGGGUAAAGGCCUACCAAGGCGACGAUCCGUAACUGGUCUGAGAGGAUGAUCAGUCACACUGGAAGUGAGACACGGUCCAGACUCCUAAGGGAGGCAGCAGUGGGGAAUAUUAGACAAUGGGCGAAAGCCUGGUCCAGCCAUGCCGAGUGUGUGAAGAAGGUCUUCGGAUUGUAAAGCACUUUAAGUUGGGAGGAAGGGCAGUAAGUUAAUACCUUGCUGUUUUGACGUUACCAACAGAAUAAGCACCGGCUAACUUCGUG